GCUUCCGAUCUCGGAGGAUGUAACAAGACGAGCGGUUGACGAAGCUGCAUUGUGUAGCCAGCCGGUUUAUCUUUUUAUGUUGUACAGUUUGUUAGUUUACCGUAAAUAUGUCUUGAUUUGUACUCAAGAGUGGAGCAAGGCCCUAUGGAACAGAGAUUGACGCAUCGUGAGCGAAGAACAGACGCGAUGGAUGGUUAGGCUGCUUGACUCUCGGCUGUACGACUCUCGGCAUGUUAGGACUGGCAAAGUUCCGAAUUUGUCGCGGUGUGGUGUACGCUUCUGUGCUCGUCAAGUGCCGUCAGAGCGCGGGGAUGUUUGAACGGAAUGUGUCCCUUCGUCUACAAAACUCUGCACGCUGCGGCAUCGAAGUCCUGUGUACGGGUGCACGUAUGCGCUUGGAUACGGGAUAGCCUGCCCUCAACGGAUGUUCAACAGUGUACGCACGCUGCGCGUACGCGUACGUAUGAGACUAGUUGCUGGUGUCCUGCUGGAGCUGAGAAGAGAUCUGCUGCCUGCCAUGAGACCAUGUCUCUCAAGUUACCGCAAUAUUGUUGCCUUCAAACCUGUCGAGACAAGGUUUCUGUACAUGGCCAUGGCGCUCAAGGAAGAAACCGAGACUGUAGACUGCCAACGUUCAUUCCUGUUCCGGCAAAGACGGGCCAGCAGUGACCAGCAGGAUUUUACAAAGUGAACUCAUCACAGCUUGAGCCACUCCAUGCCACAAGCAGUUGCUCCUCGAGCCACCGUGCAAAGGUUCCUUGGGGCACAAGUCCAACUCAGCGCCACAACCUUUCUUCUGCAGUUUUUCUACCUACUUAGCUAACCAGCAGCAAGUUUAUCCUUGCAAGGCAUGUGGGAACAGCUUUCACCAGGAAAAGUGCAAGACGAGUGGUCGAAGAAAAUAAAAUUGCUUCUGUGAUCUAAAGUACUUGACGAAUAAAAUUUUGCACUUAUUUGUAUAUAUGUCGUGCAAUUCAUUCAUAUCACAAAAAGCAAAGUGUUUGAUCUUUUGAGCUAUUUCAAUGUGUUGGCCAGACAGUUUUCUCCAUAGCGACCUGCUGCUUCUGCAAUGAGCUGCAUUCAUGACAUUUGCAUUAAAGGAUAUGUACUAUCGGGGACAAAAGUGCCCAGGACGUGCGAGUGUCGACCAAAUUGCAUCUCUGCACUAUCAGCCGCUAUCAUCUGCGUUGCAGACCACUUUCCGAAUGCAAAUGUUAGCGUGGCUGA